rnacentral:rRNA from 1 species
GGUACCUACGGGACGCAGCAGUGAGGAAUAUUGGUCAAUGGGCGCGAGCCUGAACCAGCCAAGUAGCGUGAAGGAUGACUGCCCUACGGGUUGUAAACUUCUUUUAUAAAGGAAUAAAGUGAGGCACGUGUGCCUUUUUGUAUGUACUUUAUGAAUAAGGAUCGGCUAACUCCGUGCCAGCAGCCGCGGUAAUACGGAGGAUGCAAGCGUUAUCCGGAUUUACUGGGCGUAAAACGAGCGCAGGCGGGUUAACAAGUUUGGUAUUAAA